rnacentral:rRNA from 1 species
GACGAGGGGUCCUAGCGUUGUUCGGAAUCACUGGGCGUAAAGCGUAUGUAGGCGGGCUUUUAAGUCAGGUGUGAAAUCCCAUGGCUCAACCAUGGAAUUGCAUUUGAAACUGGAAGUCUUGAAUGUGGGAGAGAUUGGUAGAAUACCUAGUGUAGUGGUGAAAUACGUAGAUAUUAGGUGGAAUACCGGUGGCGAAGGCGGCCAAUUGGCCCAACAUUGACGCUGAGAUACGAAAGCGUGGGGAUCAAACAGG